CGGACCGCAGCGGGCACGACGAAGGCCGACGGCAGGGGGCAACUCUCUCGAGUUCGAAGAGGCCAAGGCCAGCGGUCGGCAGUGAUCGCCGGCGUCGGAAAAUCAAAGAGAAGAAGAGGCCAAACAGAGGGGUCCCUUCUCCGAUGAAAUUCGGCGACACUGUCACUGGCAGUCGUGCACAGAGGCACGGGAAGAAGGAGAGAGAAGAGAGGAAGAGGAAGAAGGCUUACCUCAGCCUCCGAUGAUUCCGCCGGCGAGAAAUCGCGGCGAGCACGAAUCAAUGGGCCGCGGCUUCAAUCGGAGAAAUCAGGGAGGAAGAGAGGGAGAAAGACCGGUGGGGG
rnacentral:lncRNA from 1 species